rnacentral:rRNA from 1 species
UACAGAGGGUGCAAGCGUUGUUCGGAAUUAUUGGGCGUAAAGCGCGUGUAGGUGGCUCGUUAUGGUCGGGUGUGAAAGCCCUCAGCUUAACUGAGGAAGUGCGCCCGAAACUGGCGAGCUUGAGUGUCGGAGAGGAUAGCGGAACACCCGGUGUAGAGGUGAAAAUUCGUAGAUAUCGGGUAGAACACCAGUGGCGAAGGCGGCUAUCUGGACGACAACUGACGCUGAGACGCGAAAGCGUGGGGAGCAAACAGG